rnacentral:rRNA from 1 species
UACAGAGGUCCCAAGCGUUGUUCGGAUUCAUUGGGCGUAAAGGGCGCGUAGGCGGCCCGCACAAGUCUGCGGUGAAAACCCCCGGCUUAACCGGGGGCCGGCCGUGGAAACUGUCGGGCUGGAGGCUGGGAGAGGGCAGGCGGAAUUCCCGGUGUAGCGGUGAAAGCGUAGAGAUCGGGAGGAACAGCCGGCGGGCGAAGGCGGCUGCCUGGACCGAGUC